AUGUUAUUCUUAUUGUAUUUCUUGGCUUCGUUGCCAUACGUAAUCUCUUUCCGUAAUUAAAGAAUUUUUAAAAACUAAGGAAGUUAUGGUAUGUAGUAUUGGCAACAGCAAAAGACAAAAUAGCACCAUGGAAUAAAAGACGAAUGCUAGUAGCUAUUAUAGUAGCGGCAGUUUAUACAAGGAAGAUUGAAAUAAUGGGCAGGGGCUCCUGAUGUAGAUGGGCGAAGCGUUGCCAGACAAGUCUGCUCCAAGGUCGCUGAAUACGUCACUCGUCCCUAGGCGAGGGAAGUUGGCAGCAGUGACGCCGGGCCGGUGAAGAAGACUGCAGGAGACCCUCAGGAGUCCCAGGCCUGGAUCGUCUCGUCGCGGAGGCAACAGCAGCACCGCCCCGGGACGUCCUGCAGGGCGGAAGGAACAUGUACUUUAGCACUUGUUUGUUGCUGAGAAUGUUAGCUACAUUUUAUAUUGGUAAUUCCUUUCCUAAUGAUUUUACAGUAAUUUUGAAUGUCACUAACCUAUACCUAACUUAACCAUUUGAUAAAAUGAUAAACUACUUAAAGUAUUAUUCCAUCUUUCAGAAUGAUUUUAAAACCUUCCUAGGGAAUUUAGAAAAAAUCGUCAGAAUUACUGAUUGUUUAUAAAAAAUGAAAACAGUUUUCAGAAACUUACUCAAAAACUAUACAUAAGAUCAUCUCCAUUACUUUCUUAAAUUCAACCAAAAAAUUAUAAUAACUUACUGUUGAAUUAUUAAAACCUGUGGUAGGUAAUAAAUGAAGCAGUAAACCAACUCUAUCUUUUGGCAUAAACAGGGCAGAACCUACGCAAUGUGAACAUUUCUAUAUGUUGUAGUACAUAACUAAAGUACGUAAAUGAAAACAUGGAGACGGGGCUAAACAUACGUUAAACACAUUUAACUGUUUUCACAUACCAUUAACAAUUAUUUCUUGGCCUAACCUGUAAGAUUUCUAAAACUUUAGUGUAAACAAAUGAGGAGAUAGGUUAACACUGUAUUAUUUUGCAGUUUUGUUGGGACGUUUACAGGGAAACUAAAUUAUUCUCAAUUUAAAAAACUGCUUUUGGUGUAAACAAAGCCAUUCUUCCUUAUUUUUUCCCUGGCUAAAUAACCGAAGAUAUGAAGAUACAAGAUGUACAAACACAGCACAUAGAGCAACUUAUCGUGUUUGUGGCAUUCAUAAAUAAAAUAUAUGAACUCUUUAGUAAUAAAUACUAUGUUUUAUUGUAUCGAAAUACUUUAUUGAAAUUUGUUUUGUGUGUUAAAGAUCUAUGACCUUCCAUGUGACUUCAGAAAUGACAUAUAUCAACUCGUGUUAACAGCUGUGUUCCGCACCUAUAUUUGUUUUUUCUUUUAAAUAGAGGUGGACGGGAAUAGCAUUUUUACUUCAGGACGGGAUUCGGUCGUGAAAUACAUUAGAUUUUCGGGAUUGGGAUCGGGAGCAAGAGGAGUAAAUUGUCUCUUGUACAUAAAAUUAUAUUUACUUUACUUACUUUUAAAAUGUGCGUAUUUUUAUGUCUUUUUUUUUUUUACCAUCCACAUUUAUAGUCCAAAUCAGUGGAAAUGGCACUGCCUAUUUUAGCAUUCAAACUGUUGAUAGUUUCUUCAUACAACUCUGGAAUUAUUUGUACGAUUCCUUCGAUGUUUCUGUGCAUAAAGAGGAUUUCACAAGAAUAAAUAACAUUGUGUUCUUGCCUAGUGAGUGCUUUAUAAGCCCUUUUUGCAUCAAGCUACACCCUGAACAAAUUGCAGGUAAUGACCCAAACCACCCUAUCGCUAACAUCUCGACAUCGGGCUCUUCCAACACUUCUUCCACAAAUGAACUGGAUAAGUCAAGUAGAGCUUUCCCCUCACCCCAGACUCAACGUCCACAGAGGUCCCCGCCUCCAAUGAGUGUUUUAUUGCAGGCAUAUCUAAAUGUUAGAGGUUUGGAAACCAAGUCCAAGGAAUUCUAUGAAAUUCUUGUAAAUUCUCAAUAUGACAUUAUCUGCUUCACAGAAACAUGGUUCAAUGAAAAAACUCGCAUUAUUUUACCCACCAAUUUUCAAUUUUCAGAAAUGAUAGAAAUGCUUUGUUGUCAUAGAAAAAAGAGGUGGCGGUGUUUUAGUAACUUCUAACAAAAUAAAAUUUAUUUCAGUUCAAAAAAUAAGUAAAUAUUACUAUUCUGGUGUAGAAGCUGUGUUUGGUCUGGGACUAGACCCUAAUGUUAGUACUCAGGGGUUCGAUAGAGGGGUUUUCUUGCCGUUUGGCCGAGGGAUUUAGUCUCACCAUAAGUAACAAGUCCAAAUAAGGUUUCCGGGUCCUUCAUCCACACCAGUGUAAACUCUUUACAUGGGCCUGUGGCCGGUGCGGCUACUUAGGCUUAUUUAUAAUUUAAAUUUUUGUUAAAUCUCCUGUUUAAAUUAUUAAAUUGUAUUUCUUAUUUAAUUUUCAUAUCCAUUAUAGGUUUUCAAUCUUUAUUUUUUUAUAUUAAUUUGUAUUACUAUUUAGUGCUCCUUGUUUGUGGCCGCUGGCAGGGAGAGGACUCAUGUGACGGCAGUGGAUGCGCGGCGGACGGCUGAAUGCACGAGGGGAGUUCGUCUGGAAGGGCGGAGGGAGGGCGACACCCAGCCCAGCCCAGCGCCGAGGACCUGAGUUGCAGCACCGGGCUCCAGCACGACCAACAGCAAAAAAAAACUAAGGUACAGCGUUGUCCCCGAAACACUGUUUAAGGCCGGGAAGUGUGGCCCGAAGUUGGUGCAAGCCUUUGUUGGUUAAACAAAAAAAUUUGGUAAAAUUCUGAGAAUGAAGAGAUUUAAUUUUUUGCCUUAUUUGAUUUGUGGUUUGGGUCUUCAUUUGGGGGAAUAGCGUGAGUUCGGCGUGAGUCUCCCCUUACCGCUACACUGCGUAUUAAGUGUGCAAUUGCCGUCAGCCUUCGUUUUGACUUUAUUUUGCUUAGAACUUUGUUGGCCACUUUAACUGUGAAGUGAGUUGAACGUUUUGGUAGAUAUGCCAGCCUACGUUAUGCCCUUUUUGACCUGGAUGGACUAGCGGGAAUAUCAUACGACGUUUUAUCAGUCAUUACAGUUUUUAUGGACGUUUCACGAAACUGGAACAUUGGAAUUUUUAUUGGUUAACUUCAUUAAAUUUAAACCUCUCCCCAGCUAAGAGCUAUGUCUAGAGACAGGUGUUUUCGGUGAAAACAUUUGCACAAAUUUGUUACUUUUUGCGAGAUGAUUUCGGUAUAUUUUUCGCUAUUUUAUCAGUAGUUUCGUCAAAAAUUUCAUUGAUUUUAAAACUGCAAUAUGAGGUUUAUAAAUAUAAGUUCUACGUGAAUGUGUUUAAUAUGUCAUUUAAGAGUAGAACUACACAGUUUGUCUGCGUUGUUCAGGUUUUAAAAAAUGCAUAUUGUAUUUACUAGGCCUAAACAUGUUACAAAGCACAGUACUGGAAACUGUUUUAAAAAAUUUACUGAAAAAAAAAAAGCUCAAGUCCUAAACUAAAAACAAAUAAGUUACGUAUAUUUUUACCUGUGGCUAGGUUAUAUCAACUUUUUCCAAUAAGUGCUGAAAAAAACACGACUGGCAGCUAUAUGAAUAUUUCAAGAGUGGGUAGGCCUAACAAAAUUUUUUAUCGUAACGUUCUGUUUAUCUGCUUAAGAAUGCACAAAACUGUUAAAAUAUCGUACGCUUUGGCACCUACCGGCAAUGUACUUGUGCAUCCAUUGACAAAAUUUUUGGUCAUCCAAUUUUUCAAUUGGUAUGUUCGCUUCGAUAAAAGCUCGAGUUGUUGACAUAAUGAACUCAUUCUUGUCAAAUUUUGCUUUUUUUUGCCGUCAACAAGGCUGAUUCCAGCGAAACUUUCCUUUUUGCACCGGCUUGUUGACUUUCCUUGUUUUUGUUAUGCGAGGCACUGUUAUUUAUGUGUUUCAAGCACGUGUCUUUCCGUUGCCACUCUAUUCUAACGUUUCAGUACUUGCACACGAGAAUUUUUUGCACUUUGUCAAAGACAUAGAAUCCUUCGCUCGCAGACUCCGCCGCCCUGUCAAAUACUGUCAUAACCAUUUUAAAAUCAACGUUUUGCGAAAGAAACAGAGAAAAAACGUUUGAUUACAUCCACGCCAUUUUAACAAACUGUGGCGAGUGGUGACUCUGGCGAGGCGAUAGUGUGACAUGAAUACGACUUCCUAGACUAUCGAAAGUCGUUAACAAUCGAUUAUAAUCGACUGCUGUUAUCGAGUCAUCAAAAUACAGACGUUUAGCUAUUUUCAGUGUGUUUUUUCGUAAUUUUUUUUGUGAUUUCUCUAAAUAAUUGAUAAUUUCGCAUUUUUAAGUUUAUGUAUAUUAAUUUCGUUAAUAUAUUGCGAUUUCGCGCAUCGCGAAAAACAUCUGUCUUUAGCUAUGUCUCUACGAAAGUAUAAACUUUUAAUUGGUAUGUUAUUAGCUGCACAGCGUGUAAGUUAUUCAGACAUUUUAGUGGAACUGUAUAAAAUUUAGGGGUGUGCGAAUAUUCGUAAACACGAAUAGUUGCGAAUAGUAACUGACGAACUAUUCGCAUUCGUAAGUGGAAUAGCAAAAUUUAAAAUUGUGAAUACCGUAUUGGCCCGAAUAAGGUGACCUGCAGUUUCAGGAGGCCAAACAAAUGUAAAAAUAAUUUUGGUAGAUAUUAAUGUGAAAAUUCAUUAGACAUACAUUUUGUGUUGAUAAAUCCUUUUUGCAUUUAUGUAUACCGCAUUUAACUUUCCGUUUCACUUAAGCUACAUAUUACUAUUUAGUAGUGUGUUAAACGUAGAGCCCUACUUUAACGGUAAAUAAAAUAAGCAGAUUUCGCCAUAAAAAUCUCUUGAUUUCGUCAUAAAAAUUUUUAUAUUUCGUCAUAAAAACUGCACUUCGGAAGUGUGAAUUAAAAAAAAAUACACGCUGUACUUACAAAAAUUAUGUCAUAUAGAAUGCAAAUAUAAUCUGACAGGCCUACAUUUUUUUCCAGCUUUCCACAAAACAAUACAAAUUACAAAUCAACAGUUUCAAUAGUUAAAAAUUACAAAAAUUAUUCAAUAUGUAAGACAAGAAGCAAAAUUUAUGCUAAUAACAAUUCAGCGCUGUAAGUAUAACUUAGUCCGAGUUUCUUCAACAUGUUAUGUUUUACUUCCAAAGUACAAUGAGACCAUAAGCUCAACGUUUUGAGGUUUCAAACUUCGCCUUUUGUCUGAAAACACAUCGGAAUAUGCUGAAAAUGUCCUUUCAGAGUCAACAUUUGAUACUGGUAUCCAAAUGGCUUUCAGAGCAUUGCAUGCAAAAGCUGAAUGGUCCAGUUUCAAGGCCAACAGAAUUGGAAUGAUAUCCACACUUCCUUCACUCUUUUUCACUUUCUCAACUACUAUUUCCUUUAAGGCUGAGUAUCCUUCCAAAAAUUCUUUUCCUGAAACAGUUGAAACAAAUGGCAAUGAUUUUCCUGCCCUGACCAUAUCAUUGCAAACAUCAUUCAACAUUAUUUCCCGUGGAUUAAACAGUUGCCCCAAGUUUUGGAAGAUAUUUUUGGAAGGAUCUUCAUUAAUCAACUUCAUCAACUUUGUGUGACACCUCAACCCACAGGACUGGAACUGGGAUUUAACCAAACCUUGUUUAACAGCUGCCAACAACUUUAGACUCUCAUUUGUUUUUGAGCCAAAAUUGAAAUCAUUCACCAGCUGCAAACUUUUCAACAAGUCUGAGAGUUUUCCACUGAUCAAGUGGGACAUGGGGUAGCUUGAACCCUCCAGCUGCUUUGUCAGCUCAACCAAAGCACACCCAUGUUCGACGAGAAAUUCAGCCUGACAUUGAAUGAUUACAAUCUCUUCCACUGACAAGGUUUGAAAAUACAUCAGAGCUUCUGACGACUCGAGCUCCAGUGACUUCAGGUAUGUUACCAAGUCGUCAAGGUAUGUGUUAACAUAACCCACCGACUCAAACCAUGAACCCCAUCUUGUAAGGACUGGUGAUGGAAACAGAACAUGAGGCUUUUCUUGUUCCGGAUAGCGCUGCUUAAGAAAACACAAGUACUUGUGUUUCCUUUUGCGCGUGUUCAUAAAUGCUGUUUUCGUUUUGCUAACAAAAUUGUUAAGCUCCGGCAGAGAUUGGGGCCAAAUAUUUUGAAUGUGAUUCAGUUUAUGACUCCAACACUGAACAUGAAGGACGUCCCUACCCUCAGACGAAAGAACAACUUGUAAAGAAUGCACACACUUUGUCAUGUAGCGUGCACUGUCACACACAACCGCAAC